rnacentral:rRNA from 1 species
AUUGAACGCUGGCGGAAUGCUUUACACAUGCAAGUCGAACGGUAGAGGGGGCAACCCCUCGAGAGUGGCGAACGGGUGAGUAAUAUAUCGGAACGUGCCCAGUCGUGGGGGAUAACGUAGCGAAAGUUACGCUAAUACCGCAUACGAUCUACGGAUGAAAGCGGGGGAUCGCAAGACCUCGCGCGAUUGGAGCGGCCGAUAUCAGAUUAGGUAGUUGGUGGGGUAAAGGCUCACCAAGCCAACGAUCUGUAGCUGGUCUGAGAGGACGACCAGCCACACUGGAGCUGAGACACGGUCCAGACUCCUACGGGAGGCAGCAGUGGGGAAUUUUGGACAAUGGACGCAAGUCUGAUCCAGCCAUUCCGCGUGCAGGAUGAAGGCCCUCGGGUAGUAAACUGCUUUUGUACGGAACGAAAAGGUUUCCAUUAAUACUGGGAGCUCAUGACGGUACCGUAAGAAUAAGCACCGGCUAACUACGUGCCAGCCGCCGCGGUAA